UCGAGAUGAGGUUUUCAGCCAAUUGGGUAUGUUUUAGCACCUCUACAUACGAGCUGGGUCUCAGCAUUGCAACCUGAUCAUAGAUAUCGGCACGAAGUCCUUUCAAAAACUUCUUAACUUUACAAAUUUUGGGGGUGACCAUUAGAGGAGCAAACCUAGACAGUUGGACAAAUCGGGUUACAUACUGGGAAACUGUUAGAUUUCCUUGGUAGAGGUCCUGAAAUUCCUCUUCUUUCUUUUUUUGGACAUAGGUUGGGAAAAAGUUAUCAGAGAACGCAUCCAUGAAAAUUUUCCAGGUGGU
rnacentral:lncRNA from 1 species